rnacentral:rRNA from 1 species
AUUGAACGCUGGCGGCAGGCUUAACACAUGCAAGUCGAGCGGGGGAAGGUAGCUUGCUACCGGACCUAGCGGCGGACGGGUGAGUAAUGCUUAGGAAUCUGCCUAUUAGUGGGGGACAACAUCUCGAAAGGGAUGCUAAUACCGCAUACGUCCUACGGGAGAAAGCAGGGGAUCUUCGGACCUUGCGCUAAUAGAUGAGCCUAAGUGGGAUUAGCUAGUUGGCGGGGUAAAGGCCUACCAAGGCGACGAUCUGUAGCGGGUCUGAGAGGAUGAUCCGCCACACUGGGGCUGAGACACGGGCCAGACUCCUACGGGAGGGAGCAGUGGGGAAUAUUGGACAAUGGGGGGAACCCUGGUCCAGCCAUGCCGCGUGUGUGAAGAAGGCCUUAUGGUUGUAAAGCACUUUAAGCGAGGAGGAGGCUACUUUAGUUAAUACCUAGAGAUAGUGGACGUUACUCGCAGAAUAAGCACCGGCUAACUCUGUGCCAGCCGCCGCCGUAA